rnacentral:rRNA from 1 species
CCUACGGGGUGCACCAGUGGGGAAUAUUGGACAAUGGGCGAAAGCCUGAUCCAGCAAUGCCGCGUGUGUGGAGAAGGUCUUCGGAUUGUAAAGCACUUUCGACGGGGACGAUGAUGACGGUACCCGUAGAAGAAGCCCCGGCUAACUUCGUGCCAGCAGCCGCGGUAAUACGAAGGGGGCUAGCGUUGCUCGGAAUGACUGGGCGUAAAGGGCGCGUAGGCGGUUUAUGCAGUCAGAUGUGAAAUCCCCGGGCUUAACCUGGGAACUGCAUUUGAGACGCAUAGACUAGAGGUCGAGAGAGGGUUGUGGAAUUCCCAGUGUAGAGGUGAAAUUCGUAGAUAUUGGGAAGAACACUGGUGGCGAAGGCGGCAACCUGGCUUGAUACUGACGCUGAGGCGCGAAAGCGUGGGGAGCAAACAGGAUUAGAUACCCCUGUAG